GAUGAACGCUGGCGGCGUGCCUAAUACAUGCAAGUCGAGCGAACAGACGAGGAGCUUGCUCCUCUGACGUUAGCGGCGGACGGGUGAGUAACACGUGGAUAACCUACCUAUAAGACUGGGAUAACUUCGGGAAACCGGAGCUAAUACCGGAUAAUAUAUUGAACCGCAUGGUUCAAUAGUGAAAGACGGUUUUGCUGUCACUUAUAGAUGGAUCCGCGCCGCAUUAGCUAGUUGGUAAGGUAACGGCUUACCAAGGCAACGAUGCGUAGCCGACCUGAGAGGGUGAACGGCCACACUGGAACUGAGACACGGUCCAGACUCCGACGGGAGGCAGCAGUAGGGAAUCUUCCGCAAUGGGCGAAAGCCUGACGGAGCAACGCCGCGUGAGUGAUGAAGGUCUUCGGAUCGUAAAACUCUGUUAUUAGGGAAGAACAAAUGUGUAAGUAACUAUGCACGUCUUGACGGUACCUAAACAGAAAGCCACGGCUAACUACGU
rnacentral:rRNA from 1 species